UGAGAGUUUGAUCCUGGCUCAGAGCGAACGCUGGCGGCAGGCCUAACACAUGCAAGUCGAGCGCCGUAGCAAUACGGAGCGGCAGACGGGAGAGUAACACGUGGGAACGUACCCUUUGGUUCGGAACAACCCAGGGAAACUUGGGCUAAUACCGGAUAAGCCCUCACGGGGAAAGAUUCAUCGCCGAAGGAUCGGCCCGCGUCUGAUUAGCUGGUUGGUGGGGUAAUGGCCCACCAA
rnacentral:rRNA from 1 species